rnacentral:rRNA from 1 species
GACAGAGGCGCCGAGCGUUAGGCGGAAUCACUGGGCUUAAAGCGUGUGUAGGCGGAUGGGUAAGUACCUUGUGAAAUCCCACGGCUCAACCGUGGAACUGCUCGGUAUACUGCUCGUCUUGAGCCAACUAGGGGCGACCGGAACAAACGGUGGAGCGGUGAAAUGCGUAGAUAUCGUUUGGAACGCCGAUGGUGAAAACAGGUCGCUGGGGUUGUGCUGACGCUGAGACACGAAAGCCAGGGGAGCGAACGGG